GACGAACGCUGGCGGCGUGCUUAACACAUGCAAGUCGAACGGAAAGGCCCUGCUUUUGUGGGGUGCUCGAGUGGCGAACGGGUGAGUAACACGUGAGUAACCUGCCCUUGACUUUGGGAUAACUUCAGGAAACUGGGCUAAUAACGGGUAAGGAGUUCCGGCUCCUGGGGGGGGGUGGGAAGGUUCGGCGGUUGGGGAUGGACUCGCGGCUUAUCAGCUUGUUGGUGGGGUAGUGGCUUACCAAGGCUUUGACGGGUAGCCGGCCUGAGAGGGUGACCGGCCACAUUGGGACUGAGAUACGGCCCAGACUCCUACGGGAGGCAGCAGUGGGGAAUAUUGCACAAUGGGCGGAAGCCUGAUGCAGCAACGCCGCGUGCGGGAUGACGGCCUUCGGGUUGUAAACCGCUUUCGCCUGUGACGAAGCGUGAGUGACGGUAAUGGGUAAAGAAGCACCGGCUAACUACGUG
rnacentral:rRNA from 1 species